UGUUCGGGUUGUCAUGCCAAUGGCACUGCCCGGUAGCUAAAUGCGGAAGAGAUAAGUGCUGAAAGCAUCUAAGCACGAAACUUGCCCCGAGAGGAGUUCUCCCUGACUCCUUGAGAGUCCUGAAGGAACGUUGAAGACGACGACGUUGAUAGGCCGGGUGUGUAAGCGCAGCGAUGCGUUGAGCUAACCGGUACUAAUGAACCGUGAGGCUUAACCUUACAACGCCGAAGCUGUU
rnacentral:rRNA from 1 species